GCGGGUACGGCUCAGUGGUAGAGUGUCUGCCUAGCAUGCAUAAGGUUUUGGGUUCAAUCCUCAGUAUCCCCA
rnacentral:tRNA from 1 species